UUUUCCACUAUUCACUAUACCAUGCCACAACUCCUUGAGCUGGUCCACUGUCAUGACUGCAAGACUUCCAAUGCUAAUAUAAAUAACUGAUUUUUGCGGUUGGGCGUCUAGCCAGGUCAUGCAGCUUUUGUCAUCUUCCCACAGGCUAUUUGAGGAAUUGAUAUGUGAUGAGGCUUUUUGUGUUGAAAGGAGAAUAGACUUGUGGAGUGAAUGGAGAGGACCUAUGUUAUAAAUGUUUGGACAGAGAGUGCUUAUCUGGGAUAUCAUUGGCCCGUCUAUGAGUUCUGAUGAGUUAAGUAUCAGUCCUUGAGACCUUGGAAUUUGUUGAAUUUCUUUUAGAAUACACUGAAUAAUAGGAUGGUUAAGAUCAGUGUUCCGGAAAUAGCUGGGGAGAUCACGCUGCCUGAGAAAAUUUUCGGCCCCUGGUACCCCAGAAACCUUUCUAUCAUAAUCCUCCUCUGAAAUUGAUUAACAGAUAAAAUUACUUUGACAAUUUUCUAGUCAAAAAAGCAUUUUAAGUAAAACUUGCCUACAUGAAUGUUUGUAGCCCUGUGCAUUAAAAGGAGGUAAAUAAUGAUAUUCUGCAGGUUAAGGUUCAUACUGGAGACCUUUUACCACCCUAACAACACGAGAACAAUUUUUUUUUUUUGCAACAUUUUUGUAUUGUGUUGGGCAGAAUUUGAUAGUUAAUCUCAAACAAUGUUAUUCUUAUAAAAUACCUUCAGAUUUAAUAAACAUUUUCCGUGGAAGAACUCUGUUCUUUAGCCUUUCUUUCUAAAGGUCAGAAACCUAGCGGAUUAUGAAGUAAAAAGAACAGAUAAAAAGAUAGCAGUACAUAAAUACAUACUUAGGAAGUGUAAUACUGUGGUUAAUUUGAAGAAAUUUCAAGAGGAUAUUAAGCAUAAAUCUGCAGAGAAUUAAUAGUUAGCAUAGUGUUCAUAUCUGGAACAGUAUCUUUAAUUUAUCCUAACUAUCCAGCAAAAAGGCAUGUAGAUAAAAAAUCAAAGCAACUACUUACCUUUGAAAGGAACCUCUGCUAAGUCAAUGAGCCUUGGGAGACAGAAAAAGGCCCAUUGAGCACAAGGGCUGAUUGUCGGAAAAUACACAAGUGGAAUCCCAGCAUCCUUAGCUAGAUCAGCAGCAAAACUGUAAAACCCAUCUGAUAUUAUGAAAGACACCGGCUUGGUUGACUUAGAACUGAGGUUUCCAUUGGUCAACAUCUCUAUGAAAAGUGGCCUCAUUACUUCCUCUAUACCAUUAGUAAUAUCCACAAACUUAUCAGCCGUCCGCGGAUGGUGUUGGUGCAGGCCAUCUGGGAUGGUUUCAAAACGAAAUCCAGGAUAAUUUUCAAACCGAGAUUGGACAUGGGUGUGCUUGAGCAGGCAGUUCUGGAUGUAGUCUGUGUUGAGGAAGGUGACAUGGAGUCCAUUAAUAGCCAAAAGCUCAGCUAGUUUGAGCAUACAAUUAACUGGACCUUGCAAUGGUAAGGGGAAAAUGAGUACAUGAGGAGAUUUUACUUUAUUAUUUCCCAUCUUAGAUCUUGUUCUUCCAACUGUGUUCAUUGUUAAUUAAACUACACUAGGGGAAUAUUUUCUUUUUCUUGGAGGACCCCUGCUGAUGCUGAUAUCUUUAUCUGUAUUUAUAUGAUUAUAUAUAAUGUAGAUAUAGGCUCGCGCUCAAGUGAAAACAAUCUUAGUUUUAUAUGGAUUUUCUAGUUUUUGUUCUCUAAUAUUACUUUUGGCACUUACAUGCUCCAAUGACUCACAUGUCACAUGUUCACUUUUAUUCGCCGUAAACAUAUGCAUCGGGGUGAUGAUGCUCUGUAUAAUAAAGGCACAAGCAAACAAAUACCUCUGCAGUUUCGAAUUGCAUUCCAGAACUCACAAAUAACUGAGUCAUUUGCCUGGUACUUUGGCACUCUGCAGUUGAGAAUUGCAUUCUGGAACUCACAAAUAACUACUUUGGCACUUUGCUGUACAUAUAUGAGCCAAGUGUCAUUUCUGUAACUUCUUACUCAUUUGUAGUUCACUUCUUUAACACUAAAAUGGCAGUGUCAGACUCAUAAAGCAUUGUGAUUCAGAUUCAUAUAGUUGAUUGCACAUAUGCGUUUGUAUUAGUAGUAACCAUGACAAUAUCUUCGAAAAGAAUUUUAGUCACAAAAUCUUUAUUACAAGCUGAUGGUCUGAAAUCAUACUGAAAAAUUGAUACAAGUAUAAAUAUAUUGCAGCUACUCAUGAGCUGGUGUCCUCUGUGUCAUCACCCUAAUGUCUUCAACCAAGCGAUUAAAACUGCAAUGGGCCAAUCCACUUUGGUCAGAAACACUCUGCCUAGCAAGUUUGGACAUCUUGGAAGCAGAACUCUCAAAUUCAUCUUUCUUAUCCUCCAUAAUUUCCCUCACUGCCUUUUCAAUUGUAACUCUGUCACAAGUGUCUUUCAUAUCGAUUCCAACCCUCCAUACUUCUUGUACAAACCUGCUGUUCACUUGUUGGUCGACGAAAUAAGGCCAACAAAUCAUUGGCACUCCCUCUACUAAACCCUCCAAGGUUGAGUUCCAACCACUGUGAGUCAAAAAUAAUCCAAUAGCAGGGUGUGCUAAAACUUCCUCUUGAAAUACCCAACUCACUAUACACCCCCUCUCCUUCGUAGCAUCAGAAAGUUCAGCCGGGAUUGCAUCAUCACCAUCUUUACCAGCAAUUGAUCCAGGUCGUUGAGGCCACAAAAACCGCUUUCCACUAUUCACUAUGCCAUGCCACAACUCCAUAAGCUGGUCUUUUGUCAUGACUGCAAGACUUCCAAUGCUAACAUAAAUCACCGAUUUUUGAGGCUGGGCGUCUAGCCAGGUCAUGCAGCUCUUGUCAUCUUCCCAUAGACUAUUAGAAGAAUUGUCUUGUGAUGAGCCUUUCUGAGCUGAAAGUAAAAUAGACUUGUGGAGCACAUGGAGAGGACCUAUGGAAUAAGUUU
rnacentral:lncRNA from 1 species